rnacentral:rRNA from 1 species
UACGUAGGGGGCAAGCGUUGUCCGGAAUCAUUGGGCGUAAAGAGCGUGUAGGCGGCCCGAUAAGUCUGCUGUGAAAGUCCAGGGCUCAACCCUGGGAUGCCGGUGGAUACUGUCGGGCUCGAGUCCGGAAGAGGCGAGUGGAAUUCCUGGUGUAGCGGUGAAAUGCGCAGAUAUCAGGAGGAACACCAAUGGCGAAGGCAGCUCGCUGGGACGUGACUGACGCUGAGACGCGAAAGCGUGGGGAGCAAACAGG